CCUAGGCACCAAGAGACCGAUGAAGACGUUGUAACCUGCGAUAAGCCCUGGGGAGCUGGUAACGAGCUUUGAUCCGGGGAGUGUCCGAAUGGGGAACCUACGAAGGUGACCAGUUUAGCUACUGGCGACCGCCGCCUCGAAUGUAGUAGGCGGUGGAGGACGUAGGGAAGUGAACAUCUAGUACCACAGAGAGAAACAACCGUGAUCCGUGAGUAGUGGCGAGACGAAAGGCGGAAGAGGACCAAACCGUAUGUGUGUGAUAGGCCGGCAGGUGUUGCAUGUGGCGGGUUGGUAGGGAAGUCGUUUGACUAGAACUGCCGUGAGGUCGGAGAGUGAAUAAAGGAUUGAUAGGAAGCAAGAAGCGUCGUAGGGAAGGCGCGGCAGUAGAUGGUGACUACCCCUGUAUGACGUUAAGUUGAUCUCUCUUACUUAAUUCGUUUUACCCAAGUAGUACGGAAACCCCCUGAAAAUUCCGUACGAAAUCUGGCGGGACCACCCGUUAAGCCUAAAUACUCCUUGGUGACCGAUAGCGGACAAGUACCGUGAGGGAAAGGUGAAAAGUACCCCGGGAGGGGAGUGAAAUAGUACCUGAAA
rnacentral:misc_RNA from 1 species